AGUGAAUCACUUAUGUGACAUACUGAAGGAUUCACACUGUAAACUGGAGAAACUGAGUCUGAAUGACUGUGGCAUUACAGAUGUUGCUUAUCUGGCUCAGUCUUUAACAAACACGAAAGCACUGCAGUUUUUAAAAGAGCUUGAUCUGAGGAACAAUAACAUAGGAGUCUCAAAGGAGCAACUCAGAGAUGUGCUACGAGACUCAAACUGUAAACUUGAGGUGAACUAGAGGAAGAUGUGAAUAAGCAGGAAAAAAAAGCACUGAUUUUAUUCAGUAAUAGGCCUGAUAAUCAUAAUGAUUCUGAGACUAAACUAAUCCAUAAUUAACUAAUUAAAAUAUUGCAAAUCAUAAUUGUGAUAGUCAAAUUGAGAUCUCAAAUAUAUCAAAUGCAACACAAAAGUGAAAGUCAGAUUCCCAGUGAAAUGCUUUCAGACAGCAAAUACAAUGAGUUUGCUUCCUCCUUUUCUGAGAAGAUCAUCAAUAUCAGGAAGGCGAUUGGCACAUCCUCAAGUAAUGCAGAGGUCAGACAGAUUAUACAGACAGAUACUAUUUUUGAAGCAAUCGAUAGCAAAAUUAAAAGUGCAGCACCUAAAAUCGUCAACCUACUGUCUUGACACACUUCCCACAUCUUUUUUCAAAAGUGUGCUUAACUGCUUAGAAGCAGAUCUUAGAAGUCGUGAACAC